ACCCGCACAAGCGGUGGAUGAUGUGGUUUAAUUCGAUGCAACGCGAAGAACCUUACCAGGGUUUGACAUGCUGGUGGUAGAAACCUGAAAGGGUGACGACCUUCGGUUUUCCGAGGGAGCCAGCACAGGUGCUGCAUGGUUGUCGUCAGCUCGUGUCGUGAGAUGUUGGGUUAAGUCCCGCAACGAGCGCAACCCUUACCCUUAGUUGCGUACCAGGUAAUGCUUGAGCACUCUAAGGGGACUGCCGGUGACAAACCGGAGGAAGGUGGGGAUGACGUCAAAUCCGCAUGGCCCUUAUGUCCUGGGCGACACACGUGCUACAAUGGCCAGUACAGAGGGUUGCGAACCCGCGAGGGGGAGCCAAUCCCAAAAAGCUGGCCCCAGUUGGGAUUGCAGGCUGCAACUCGCCUGCAUGAACGCGGAAUCGCUAGUAAUCGCGUAUCAGCUACGGCGCGGUGAAUGCGUUCCCGGGCCUU
rnacentral:rRNA from 2 species